rnacentral:SRP_RNA from 1 species
GCCAGGUGUGGUGGUGCACACCUGUAAUCCCAGCUACUUGGGAGGCCGAGGCACAAGAAUCGCUUGAACCCGGGAGGUAGAGGUUGCAGUGAGCCGAGAUCAUGCCACUGCACUCCAGCCUGGGUGACAGAGCGAGACUUUGUCUUAA